UGACGGUACCUAACAAGAAAGCCACGGCUAACUACGUGCCAGCAGCCGCGGUAAAACGUAGGUGGCAAGCGUUGUCCGGAAUUACUGGGUGUAAAGGGAGCGCAGGCGGGCCGACAAGUUGGAAGUGAAAACUAUGGGCUCAACCCAUAGCCUGCUUUCAAAACUGCCGAUCUUGAGUACUGUAGAGGUAGAUGGAAUUCCCGGUGUAGCGGUGGAAUGCGUAGAUAUCGGGAGGAACACCAGUGGCGAAGGCGAUCUACUGGGCAGCAACUGACGCUGAGGCUCGAAAGCAUGGGUAGCAAACAGGAUUAGAUACCCUG
rnacentral:rRNA from 1 species